CGGUUUUUGUACUACACAUAGGUACUGGAAAACUUACCACAGAUUAUCCAGUGCUUGGUCUAGUGCAAGAAUUGC
rfam:Caenorhabditis brenneri strain PB2801 C_brenneri-6.0.1_Cont21.6, whole genome shotgun sequence.